AGCGAACGCUGGCGGCAGGCUUAACGCAUGCAAGUCGAACGCCCCGCAAGGGGAGUGGCAGACGGGCGAGUAACACGUGGGAACGUACCCUUUGGUUCGGAAUAACUUGGGGAAACUCAAGCUAAUACCGGAUAAGCCCUUAUGGGGAAAGGUUUACUGCCGAAGGAUCGGCCCGCGUCUGAUUAGCUAGUUGGUGAGGUAAUGGCUCACCAAGGCGACGAUCAGUAGCUGGUCUGAGAGGAUGAUCAGCCACACUGGGACUGAGAAACGGCCCAGACUCCUACGGGAGGCAGCAGUGGGGAAUAUUGGACAAUGGGGGCAACCCUGAUCCAGCCAUGCCGCGUGAGUGAUGAAGGCCUUAGGGUUGUAAAGCUCUUUUACCCGGGACGAUAAUGACUGUACCGGGAGAAUAAGCCCCGGCUAACUUCGUGCCAGCCGCCGCAGUAA
rnacentral:rRNA from 1 species